rnacentral:sRNA from 1 species
AAGGAAUUCAGGGUUUCCCCAAAG